AUUGAACGCUGGCGGCAUGCCUUACACAUGCAAGUCGAACGGUAACAGGUCUUCGGAUGCUGACGAGUGGCGAACGGGUGCGUAAUACAUCGGAACGUGCCCGAUCGUGGGGGAUAACGAGGCGAAAGCUUUGCUAAUACCGCAUACGAUCUACGGAUGACAGCGGGGGAUCUUCGGACCUCGCGCGGACGGAGCGGCCGAUGGCAGAUUAGGUAGUUGGUGGGAUAAAAGCUUACCAAGCCGACGAUCUGUAGCUGGUCUGAGAGGAUGAUCAGCCACACUGGGACUGAGACACGGCCCAGACUCCUACGGGAGGCAGCAGUGGGGAAUUUUGGACAAUGGGCGAAAGCCUGAUCCAGCCAUGCCGCGUGCAGGAUGAAGGCCUUCGGGUUGUAAACUGCUUUUGUACGGAACGAAAAGCCUCUUUCUAAUAAAGAGGGGUCAUGACGGUACCGUAAGAAUAAGCACCGGCUAACUACGUG
rnacentral:rRNA from 1 species